rnacentral:rRNA from 1 species
CACGUAGGGUGCGAGCGUUGUCCGGAAUUAUUGGGCGUAAAGAGCUCGUAGGCGGUGUGUCGCGUCGGCCGUGAAAACCCGCGGCUCAACCGUGUGGUCUGCAGUCGAUACGGGCAGGCUAGAGUUCGGUAGGGGAGACUGGAAUUCCUGGUGUAGCGGUGAAAUGCGCAGAUAUCAGGAGGAACACCGGUGGCGAAGGCGGGUCUCUGGGCCGAUACUGACGCUGAGGAGCGAAAGCGUGGGGAGCGAACAGG